AUUGAACGCUGGCGGCAGGCCUAACACAUGCAAGUCGAACGAGUGGCGGACGGGUGAGUAAUGUCUGGGAAACUGCCUGAUGGAGGGGGAUAACUACUGGAAACGGUAGCUAAUACCGCAUACCAUCGGAUGUGCCCAGAUGGGAUUAGCUUGUUGGUGGGGUAAAGGCUCACCGAGGCGACGAUCCCUAGCUGGUCUGAGAGGAUGACCAGCCACACUGGAACUGAGAAACGGUCCAGAAUCCGACGGGAGGCAGCAGUGGGGAAUAUGGCACAAUGGGCGCAAGCCUGAUGCAGCCAUGCCGCGUGUAUGAAGAAGGCCUUCGGGUUGUAAAGUACUUUCAGCGGGGAGGCGUUACCCGAAGAAGAAGCACCGGCUAACUCCGUGCCAGCAGAAGCGGUAAUAC
rnacentral:rRNA from 1 species